rnacentral:rRNA from 1 species
GACAGAGGGGGCAAGCGUUGCUCGGAAUCACUGGGCGUAAAGGGCGCGUAGGCGGGAUGGCAAGUCAGUCGUGAAAUCUCUCGGCUCAACCGAGAAACGUCGGCUGAUACUGCCGUUCUUGAGGGAUGCAGAGGAGACUGGAAUUCCCGGUGUAGCGGUGAAAUGCGCAGAUAUCAGGAGGAACACCGGUGGCGAAGGCGGUUCUCUGGGCAUGUCCUGACGCUGAGGAGCGAAAGUGUGGGGAGCGAACAGG